UACGGGGGGGGCAAGCGUUGUUCGGAAUUACUGGGCGUAAAGGGCUCGUAGGCGGCCAACUAAGUCAGACGUGAAAUCCCUCGGCUUAACCGGGGAACUGCGUCUGAUACUGGAUGGCUUGAAUCCGGGAGAGGGAUGCGGAAUUCCAGGUGUAGCGGUGAAAUGCGUAGAUAUCUGGAGGAACACCGGUGGCGAAGGCGGCAUCCUGGACCGGCAUUGACGCUGAGGAGCGAAAGCCAGGGGAGCAAAGCAGG
rnacentral:rRNA from 1 species